rnacentral:tRNA from 1 species
UCACUGGUGGCUCAGAUGGUAAAGCGUCUGCCUGCAAUGCAGGAGACCCGGGUUCGAUCCCUGGGUUGGGAA